rnacentral:rRNA from 1 species
AUUGAACGCUGGCGGCAGGCCUAACACAUGCAAGUCGAGCGAGCGGCGGACGGGUGAGUAAUGUCUGGGAAACUGCCUGAUGGAGGGGGAUAACUACUGGAAACGGUAGCUAAUACCGCAUACCAUCAGAUGUGCCCAUAUGGGAUUAGCUAGUAGGUGGGGUAAGGGCUCACCUAGGCGACGAUCCCUAGCUGGUCUGAGAGGAUGAACCGCCGCACUGGAACGGAGACACGGUCCAGACUCCUGCGGGAGGCAGCAGUGGGGAAGAUUGCACAAUGGGCGCAAGCCUGAUGCAGUCAUGCCGCGUGUGUGAAGAAGGCCUUAGGGUUGUAAAGCACUUUCAGCGGGGAGGCGUUACCGGCAGAAGAAGCACCGGCUAACUCCGUGCCAGCAGCCGCGGUAAUUC